GACGAACGCUGGCGGCGUGCCUAAUACAUGCAAGUGGGACGCAAGGGAACACACUGUGCUUGCACACCGUGUUUUCUUGAGUCGCGAACGGGUGAGUAACGCGUAGGUAACCUGCCUAUUAGCGGGGGAUAACUAUUGGAAACGAUAGCUAAUACCGCAUAAUAUUAAUUAUUGCAUGAUAAUUGAUUGAAAGAUGCAAGCGCAUCACUAGUAGAUGGACCUGCGUUGUAUUAGCUAGUUGGUAAGGUAAGAGCUUACCAAGGCGACGAUACAUAGCCGACCUGAGAGGGUGAUCGGCCACACUGGGACUGAGACACGGCCCAGACUCCUACGGGAGGCAGCAGUAGGGAAUCUUCGGCAAUGGACGAAAGUCUGACCGAGCAACGCCGCGUGAGUGAAGAAGGUUUUCGGAUCGUAAAGCUCUGUUGUAAGUCAAGAACGUGUGUGAGAGUGGAAAGUUCACACAGUGACGGUAGCUUACCAGAAAGGGACGGCU
rnacentral:rRNA from 1 species